rnacentral:rRNA from 1 species
CUGGUAGACUAACAGGAUUCCCCUAGUAACUGCGAGUGAAGCGGGAAAAGCUCAAAUUUAAAAUCUGGCGGUUCUUGCAGUCGUCCGAAUUGUAAUUUAGAGAAGUGUUAUCCGCGCUGGACCGUAUACAAGUCUCCUGGAAUGGAGCGUCAUAGAGGGUGAGAAUCCCGUCUUUGAUACGGACUGCCAGGGCUUUGUGAUGCGCUCUCGAAGAGUCGAGUUGUUUGGGAAUGCAGCUCAAAAUGGGUGGUAAAUUCCAUCUAAAGCUAAAUAUUGGCGAGAGACCGAUAGCGAACAAGUACCGUGAGGGAAAGAUGAAAAGAACUUUGGAAAGAGAGUUAAACAGUACGUGAAAUUGCUAAAAGGGAAACGCUUGAAGUCAGUCGCGUUGAUUGAGGAUCAUCCUUGCUUUUUGCUUGGUGUACUUCUCAGUUGAUGGGUCAACAUCAAUUUUGACUGUUGGAUAAAGUUCAUUGGAAUGUGGCAUCUUUAGAUGUGUUAUAGCCUUUGUUCGUAUACAGCAGUUGGGAUUGAGGAACUCAGCACGCCGCAAGGCCGGGUAUUUAUACCACGUACGUGCUUAGGAUGUUGGCAUAAUGGCUUUAAUCGACCCGUCUUGAAACACGGACCAAGGAGUCUAACAUGCCUGCGAGUGUUUGGGUGGAAAACCCGAGCGCGUAAUGAAAGUGAAAGUUGAGAUCUCUGUCAUGGAGAGCAUCGACGCCCAGACUUGAGCUUUUGCGACGGUCCUGCGGUAGAGCAUGUAUGUUGGGACCCGAAAGAUGGUGAACUAUGCCUGAAUAGGGUGAAGCCAGAGGAAACUCUGGUGGAGGCUCGUAGCGAUUCUGACGUGCAAAUCGAUCGUCGAAUUUGGGGUAUAGGGGCGAAAGACUAAUCGAACCAUCUAGUAGCUGGUUCCCGCCGAAGUUUCCCUCAGAUAGCAGAAACUCACUGAUCAGAUUUUAUGUGGUAAAGCG